rnacentral:misc_RNA from 1 species
GAUGAAGAACGUAGCGAAAUGCGAUACUUGGUGUGAAUUGCAGAAUCCCGUGAACCAUCGAGUCUUUGAACGCAAGUUGCGCCCGAAGCCAUUAGGCCGAGGGCACGCCUGCCUGGGCGUCACACGUCGUUGCCCCCCCAUCUACUCCUUCGGGAUUGCGGGGGGCGGAUGAUGGCCUCCCGUGCGCCUCGCCGCGCGGUUGGCAUAAAUGCCAAGUCCUCGGCGACGCACGCCACGACAAUCGGUGGUUGCGAAACCUCGGUUGCGCGUCGUGUGCGGUCGUCGCGCAUCGAGGGCUCGAAAAAAUUGCCGGGUUCCGGCUCGGCUUUCAACGCGACCCCAGGUCAGGCGGGGUUACCCGCUGAAUUUAAGCAUAUCAAUAAGCGGAGGA